rnacentral:rRNA from 1 species
AACGAACGCUGGCGGCAGGGCUUAACACAUGCAAGUCGAGCGCCCGGCAAGGGGGAGCGGCAGACGGGUGAGUAACGCGUGGAACGUGCCCUUUGGUUCGGGAACAACUCCGGGAAACUGGAGCUAAUACCGGAUAAGCCCUUCGGGGGAAAGAUUAUCGCCAAAGGACUCGGCCCGCGUCUGAUUAGCUAGUUGGUGAGGUAAUGGCUCACCAAGGCGACGAGUCAGUAGCUGGUCUGAGAGGAUGGAUCAGCCACACUGGGACUGAGACACGGCCCAGACUCCUACGGGAGGCAGCAGUGGGGAAUAUUGGACAAUGGGCGCAAGCCUGAUCCAGCCAUGCCG